ACGCUCGACACCUACGGAGGCAGCAGUGGGGAAUAUUGCACAAUGGGGGAAACCCUGAUGCAGCAACGCCGCGUGAGUGAAGAAGUAUUUCGGUAUGUAAAGCUCUAUCAGCAGGGAAGAUAAUGACGGUACCUGACUAAGAAGCUCCGGCUAAAUACGUGCCAGCACGCCGCGGUAAUCUGAGGCGGGCUGGCAAGGC
rnacentral:rRNA from 1 species